rnacentral:lncRNA from 10 species
GGCUCCUUGGGAUAGAUGGGGAAGCUGAGGCCCAGAAGGGGGCUGAGACCACCUCCCAGUUUCCCCAGUGAGGUGGCGCCUGAGCCACGGCCAGGCCCGGCCUCCUUCCACCCGGCCCUGCUGUGCGCGCGGCGGGUGCUGACCUGGCGAGGCCGGACAGGGGACCAGGUCGGGGUGACCGUCACUGACACCUGGACAGUCCUCGUUGUGUUCGGGGUGGGAAGCCCACGGGGAAGAGUGUAUCACAGCCAUUGGGAACUUUCUUCACCCAUCAAAGCCUCAGGGCUGAAGCAUCCUGAACAAGAACUCAGGAGAGUGAAAGAAACAGUUACCUGUCGGCUGCAGCUGGUACCAGCUCCCCACCCCGUACAGAGACCGAAGCGUCCUCUCUCUCCCCAUCACCCAGCACCAGACUCUGCCCCGCGACCUCAGCCUGCACCUGCUUCCUGGCUCCAUCCAGCCUUCCAGCCUCACUAGAUCAUCAUGGGCCACUGGCCAACACACAGGGCAGUGCCGAGCCCAGGCCGUGGUCACACAUGGCUGGGUUAGUAGCUGAAAACAUUGUUUUUCACUGGCCUCACAGUAAUGGCACCUGCCCCCAUUUUCUGUGAUUGAAUUUUUGGAUCCUGCUACCAGGUUAUGAUAGAUUUUAUGGUAUGUCUCAAGAUAUUGAGAUAAAGGUAAUAAAACAGCUAUAAAGUC